UAUGGUAACCAAAGACAUGGUAACAAUGUUCUUUGGUGAAAAGAGCAGCAAGAAAUAGAACCUUGAAUAACUCCAAGCAUGUCCUGUAGGCUGAAGUUCUCAUUUAUUAAAAUGAUGAAGAAUGUUAUCCCUGCAAUUUUGUAAAACCAGCUGAAGCCUCUAGUAAGUAGUACCCAAGGUCUGUAUUACAGUCAAAUCUAUCCUUUUUGAAGGACCUGCUUGUACUGUUAAAGGACUCUUGCCUGAUUUUCGUUAUCCCAGACUUCUGCAAAGAUAAGAGAUGAAAAUUGUGCUGAGGAUUCAUACUCUCAGGAUGGUGGCAUGUUGGGUGGGUCCUGAAUAAAGUACUGGUCAACUUUCUCUUGAGAUCACUUGUUUGAAUCUUCCGCUGCAUGCUGAAAAAGCCGAGGCAAGAAGGCAUGAUACUGAAGGAAGGCACUUGUAAUUCUGAUGACAUCUGUAGAUAAUCCCAUCUCUCAGUUGCUUGGAGGCAGUUACCAAUCUGAAACCUAAGUGUCACUCAACAGGAAGCUGAAUCUUGAAUGAGUGGAAAAGUAGAUUACAAUCAAAUAAUGCUGAGAUUGCAGCAGUGUGAGAUUUGUCCAGGUUUGAAUCUCCUAAAUACUGAACUAUGGUUUAAAGUGCUGCAGCUGUCUAAAAUUUAGAAUUUUUUUUUUAAAAACAUGAAUUGAUAAGUCUUUUUAUUUUGUUUUUAAUGUUAAUAACCUGACUAAAGGUUUACUUUAGUUGCUCAUAGCCAGAAACCAACACAAUAAAGACAUAUAAAAUACACAAUAAACCUUUUCACUCUUUUUAAACGAAGUUUUCUUGCAAGUUGGGCAAACAAAGUAACAUAUGGGAUAACCUUCUAAAGAAAUUCGUCAAUUAAAGCUUGGGGUGGGUGGAAAGAUAAUGCUGCUUUAGAAUGAUAGACACCCCCUCUCCACUUUUGGAACUUUAUGCAGUGACCAAUAUCACAAAUAAUUACCCUUGAAACCUGCCAUGUGUGCAGGCAGCAUAGUUUGAAAUCUAAUUUCAAUGAAAGCACUGUGAAGUUGGAGGUAGGAUAAUAAGUGAAAACAGGCAGCUUUGCAAUGAUUCUCUUUGAUCAGAAUGUACCAUUUAAUAAACAGUAGGUGCGAAUUACAGCCAGAUCUUCACCAGGAUCUUGAUCAUAAAUUUGUUCAUCGGAGAAAAACAAGGGUUAUCUGCCAAAUAAAACUCCAUACUGAAUUGUAUUUUUCCAAUGCAACCUGGCAGCAUUAUGCUCAUCCUUCCUUUUUCAGUUGCUCCAACAGGACAUCUUAGGGAAGUUACUAUCUUCCAUUACUAUCUUCCAUUCUUUUCAAAUUGCACCAGUAUUAACCAAUGCAGUGGAAAAUAGUGCAUACCUCUUCCCCCUUCCUCCCAGUUUUUUUCAUGUUUUCUAUUUUGGCAACUAAUGGUUUUGGUUCAAAGACCUCCAGCUGUUGACCUUUAAUGUAUGGGGUAACUGUCCAUUAGCAUUGAUUAAAUCUGCCCCAGAUUGUAAGCCUGCAUUAUGUGGCAACCUAUGAUUUAACCAUCUCAGCUCUUCUCUCCCUUUCUUAUUGCAGAGAUGGCUGCUUCCUGCAGAGGCUAGGAGGAUUUAUUUUUUUCUAGCUUCAAACUCCAUACCUCAACACCCAGAGGACAUGAAGAGCUUUUAUCUGGCUAGCUAACAUCUUGAAAGAAAAGGCCAAUAGUAAAGUUUGAAAAAGAGAAUGAAGCUGACCCCUGGUGUAUAAAUAUGCAGUAUUUUUAAUGAGCAGUGAUUCCAAAGUAGCUUUGGUUUCUGUUAAAUUGAGAGAGGAUCUCAAAAAUCUCACUGAGACCAAAACCUGAUGUUUGUCCCUUUAGAACCUGCCUGUACCAAAUGUGACUCACCACUUUGAAUAAACAUGUGUUACAGUCUACUGGGAGCUGAACCUCCACAUCAGUGUUGUAAUCUCAGACCAGUUGCAAAUCCCAACGGUUGGACCCCUGGUGCAUUGCAUUAAGUCUGGUUGUGGUGGCCUGCUUU